AGCCCGGAUGUUGGCUGAGAAGCAGCCAUCAUUUAAAGAAAGCGUCCUAGCUCACUGGUCGAGUCGGCCUGCGCGGAAGAUGUAACGGGGCUAAACCAUGCACCGAAGCGGCGGCAGCGACACUAUGUGUUGUUGGGUAGGGGAGCGUUCUGUAAGCCUGCGAAGGUGACCGGUGAGGGUUGCUGGAGGUAUCAGAAGUGCGACUGCUGACAUAAGUAACGAUAAAGCGGGUGAAAAGCCCGCUCGC
rnacentral:rRNA from 1 species